CCCUGCCCAAGCAGGCAUCCCAGAGCACAUGGCACAGGAUUGCACCCGGGCAGUCCCCGAGUACCUCCAGCGAGGGACACUCCACAACCUGUUCCAGUGAGUGUUCUGCCCAGUAAAGUUCUUCCUCAUAAUCAGGUCUCUGGUUCUCCAUAAAGGGAAAAAGGAAAACAAGAGUCUGUUUGGUGACGUCUCUGGGAGGUGCUGUUACUGUUCCAAAAGGCCGUUGGAACUGUAAAGCCAGAAGAGGAAAGAGGACAACAUGUAAGUUGUGUCUAACGAUGCAUGAAGAAUGGUAAGCAUUAAGUAAGAUUUUUACCAGAACAACUAAUCUUUGAAAACAAACAACAGCUCCCUUUUUGGCUCACUAAAUGUUAUUUUCUCAAAAUAUAUCUAACUGCCCAUUCAAAGUUUGUCUCACUUGUAGCCCCAAACAAUGGCUGUUUCCUGAACUGCAUAGUCUUGGGUCUCACCCCACAAAAGUAAUCAAUAACUACCUGUUCCUUAUAAUAACAGGUGUCAGAACCAAACAUUUAGAAAUGCACUACUGUGCAUUUUAGCACUGUAGUUUAAGUUCAGAGAGCUCUGCAUUCUGUGGUGUUUGUCAGUCAGACUUUGAGGGAGGUCUUCAAAGUAUUGCUCACUUAAUGCAGCAAAAGUUCAUCACUCCCAUGGAAAGUCAAUCCCUCCACUUCUGUGAGGAAGUUAACUCCAGUUCACACAGGGUUGCAGGAUUGUUUUUGUUUUCCCUAAACACUUAUAAAAUGUCAAACCUUUGAAUGUGUGUGCAUAUGGAGAGGCAUGAUGUAUUUCUGUGUCCUAUAUGUGCUGUGUUCAUCUGCACUCUGCUCUGGGUAAAAGACAAAAGUACAUGUGCAUGAAUAGAGAAAUUUUUAAAUUUAGCAGCACCUAUAGAAAUUCAGUCCAAUUCUUUCUUCCUUCUCCCUCUGUGUCUGUGUGGCAAACACCCUGGGGUUCCUGUGGUUUUGAAGUGUAUUUGCAUGAUACUGUAUAAUGAGUGAUUACAUUGUUUUGUAGUUGUUUGAAGGAGGUCACAAAAAUAUUUUUUGUACUUCUUUUUCUUUUUUGUGGUGGUUGUAAUAGCUUUAGUCAUUCUGGGAUCAGCUGCCUUGCAAAAGGAAUAAAUAUAUGUAGGAAAAAAAUCACCUAAUUGUGACAAAUUGUCAGAAGGCUUUAGAUGUGGUGUAAUACUGUGUUUUCCUGUAAAUUUUGCUCCAGAAGGAGGGAGACGCCUGUAUUUUUAUUUCUUUCUCUGAGAUGUAAGCACAGAAAAGGCAAAUUUCUUUGCAGAGAGGGAAGUCAAGAUUUUUUUUAUGAGUAAGACCAAAAGAUUUCAAACGUCUCUGGCCUCUUCAUAGCAGAGCUUUUUCUAUCAUUGACUGGAACUUUGGAAUAAAUCAGAUAGAAAGUGCCUUAUAAGACUCAAUUUUUCAAGGAGUUUUUGAAAACUAUUUGCAUAUUGCCCAGUGCAAAAUUAAUUCUGAAAGCUUUAUAGUUAAUCAGAACAGUUGUUGAAGUGUCCUUGUUUCUGUGACUCACGUGCUUCAUCCACACUUUGUAUCAUGGUGAUAAACUGUCAGGAUGCCUUAUCCACCAAUGCUGAGUCUCUGAAGUUGACCCAGUCCCAUGUCCAGUAGUGUGAAAUGACACAAAGGGAGGGAAGGAGGAAAAUACAGAUUUGUGACCUGCAGUACACUGACAAAGCCUCCACCAGUGCCUGCCAGAGUUACGUGGAUGUAUAAGAAAUGCUAUUUCUUCUGCAUGGCUGGCAAUCAUGCAAAGCCUUCACUGUAGGUGGAUGAAGGGAACUGGUCAAGAAUCUGAGUAGACCAUCAGAACCAUCAGAAAGGAAAAGUGGGAUUUCUACAGCUGCCAAGGAGCUGAAGAGAGAAUGACCCUUGUGAAGGGGGGCAUGAAGCAAAGGGAGGAAGAAUGAUUGCAGCACAGAUGUUUAUAGGAAGGCCAUGGGUGGAGAUGGAGCUUGUCUUUCACCUGAUGAGUUUGAAUUAUAUGUGAAAAAGCAGUGAGAUCAUCUUGACACAACAGAUUCCCAUCAUUCCACCAUGGACAUGUCAGGUUGCUUUGUUCAGGGAUACUUGCUGAAAAUGCUGAACCUACAACGUAGUCCAUGGGAUUUAUGGUAGUUCUGGCCCCAAAUGGAGCCUAUCAGAAGAGUGAAGAAAGGCGUGCAGCUGAUGUUACCAUUUCCAGAUGCUGUUGUAACACCUGCCACACCAGUUCUUAGAUUGACUUUGUAGUAUAAUGUAAAUGCACUAAAAAUCAUUUUAGUUAUAAUAGCACAUCUGUAAAUUUUUUAUCCUUUUGAUACUUAAAUUGGCAUGAUAGCAGUUGAUAGUACACAGAAACCAGAGAAUACUUCAGAUUUACAAACCACCUGCAUCUUUGGUAUCUCAGCAGGCACCCAGAUGUUGCCAGGACAACAGAAUAUAGAUAUAGUUAGUCUGCAUAUUUCUUAUGUGUAUAUAUGGAUUUAAUAAACUGGAGAUUUUUAGAACUCACUGCUGUUAUGUGAUUACUUUAG